GCACCCGUAGCUCAACUGGAUAGAGCGCUUCCCUCCGAAGGAAGAGGUUGUGAGUUCGACCCUCGCCGGGUGCA
rnacentral:tRNA from 1 species